UGAGUCUUCCCUGAUACUUUAAGUAUCCUAAAGGGUUGUUCGAGACUAGAACGUUGAUAGGCAGGGUGUGUAAGCGUUGUGAGGCGUUGAGCUAACCUGUACUAAUUGCCCGUGAGGCUUAACCAU
rnacentral:rRNA from 1 species